rnacentral:pre_miRNA from 1 species
AUGAAAAUCACCCAGGGAUCUUGUUAAAAUACAGUUUCUGAUUCAGCAGGUCUGGGGUAGGUUCCAAGACUGUGCAUUUCUAAUAAGCUCCCAGGUGAUACUGAU